rnacentral:rRNA from 1 species
CUAACGUCCGUCGUGAAGAGGGAAACAACCCAGACCGCCAGCUAAGGUCCCAAAGUCAUGGUUAAGUGGGAAACGAUGUGGGAAGGCCCAGACAGCCAGGAUGUUGGCUUAGAAGCAGCCAUCAUUUAAAGAAAGCGUAAUAGCUCACUGGUCGAGUCGGCCUGCGCGGAAGAUGUAACGGGGCUAAACCAUGCACCGAAGCUGCGGCAGCGACGCUUAUGCGUUGUUGGGUAGGGGAGCGUUCUGUAAGCCUGUGAAGGUGUGCUGUGAGGUAUGCUGGAGGUAUCAGAAGUGCGAAUGCUGACAUAAGUAACGAUAAAGCGGGUGAAAAGCCCGCUCGCCGGAAGACCAAGGGUUCCUGUCCAACGUUAAUCGGGGCAGGGUGAGUCGACCCCUAAGGCGAGGCCGAAAGGCGUAGUCGAUGGGAAACAGGUUAAUAUUCCUGUACUUGGUGUUACUGCGAAGGGGGGACGGAGAAGGCUAUGUUGGCCGGGCGACGGUUGUCCCGGUUUAAGCGUGUAGGCUGGUUUUCCAGGCAAAUCCGGAAAAUCAAGGCCGAGGCGUGAUGACGAGGCACUACGGUGCUGAAGCAACAAAUGCCCUGCUUCCAGGAAAAGCCUCUAAGCAUCAGGUAACAUCAAAUCGUACCCCAAACCGACACAGGUGGUCAGGUAGAGAAUA